rnacentral:rRNA from 1 species
ACUGUGAAGGAAAGAUGAAAAGCACUUUGAAAAGAGAGUGAAACAGCACGUGAAAUUGUUGAAAGGGAAGGGUAUUGCGCCCGACAUGGGGAUUGCGCACCGCUGCCUCUCGUGGGCGGCGCUCUGGGCUUUCCCUGGGCCAGCAUCGGUUCUUGCUGCAGGAGAAGGGGUUCUGGAACGUGGCUYUCGGAGUGUUAUAGCCAGGGCCAGAUGCUGCGUGCGGGGACCGAGGACUGCGGCCGUGUAGGUCACGGAUGCUGGCAGAACGGCGCAACACCG